rnacentral:lncRNA from 1 species
UUUUUUUUUCCUAUUUGGACCGUGUAGCUCUCGGUUUAUCAUGUGAUGGCCGUUCUUUUUCUCUUAAUCUGUAUUCUUGCUAGAAUGCAAGCUGAUGCUGCAUAUGAAGGUAUGUCUGAUGUGUUCCGCAAAACGCUUCAGCGUGAAGGUUUCAGGGGCUUCUACAAAGGACUUUUCCCAAAUCUUCUAAAAGUUGUACCAGCAGCAAGCAUAACUUAUCUCGUGUAUGAAUCGAUGAAAAAGAGUUUAGAUCUUGAUUAGCUGGUAUAGAGUCGGCGACACACUGAGGUUCAAGCUGCUGAUCCUGAGGAGGAUGAUGAUGAUGAUAAAUAAGAUUAUUUAGCUCAUUGGUGAUAUGAUUUUCAGAAUCAUACACUUGAUUUUUGAGUCCCCAUUGGAUAUCGACGGGGAUUAUAGUUAUAGAGUUUUCUUCUUCAGAUUCAACCGACAAAUGACUACGUUGGCAAUUGAGAAUAGUCCUUCUUUACAAUGUAUGCCUGAGCUACUGGAAAUAUCCUUUCUACACUUUUGCCAAGUAAAUGCAAAAUGAAUACAGUGAGAUGUAGACCUUGAAAUUUUUUGCUAUAUGGAUGAUAGCAUGGGAGUGAGGUUCUGCUCUCUGCCCUUCUUUAUGUAGGCUUUAGGUGCAAAUGAAACUGUUGUAAUUAAAGUAUUAGUGCUGGUAAAGAGGAAACUUUUUCUUUUGUUGGGACAACGUGUUUUGUUGUAAACUAUUUCUGAACUAAACACCUAGAAUUAAAUUAUUUUAGUUUUUCAAAAUACUGAAAACUAUUCCAAGUUUUUUCAUUGUUUGGAAAACAAAAAAAGGUUCUAAAUAGUUUCUUCCAAGAAAUUGAAUUUCUAUAUAUAUAUAUAUAUCGUAUGUUAUAUAAAAAAAUUAUUUAAAUUUUAUAUAUUUUUUCGGCUACCGAAUGUGAAUACUUUUUGGCGCGGGUUAAAAGUGAAAAAAGCCCUUUAUUCUUUUUGCGUAUUUACUGGCUAAAUAAAUAUAUUUAGAAAAGAUUUACAUUUAGAGAUUUUGGAUUCAAUGAAACAUCGAAAUUUGUUAUAAAUUAUAAUCUAUAUAAUAGAAGCAUAAGAAAUAGAAACUACAUCAAAAUUUUGCACAAUUUCACCGUAAACCAUUUCUCUACGGGUCACAAUAUUUAAAGCCCUUAAAAAUUCUUCACAUCUUGACAUUAUUGUAUGGAAUGAAAAUUACAAACUACAAUGCCCUUAAUAAACGUGAAAGAGAAUCACUCCCCUGUAAUCUGCCCGCCCGAGACCAACCCAAGUGUAUAGAGUGCAACAAGCAUUUCGAUAGCAAUUACUUCAAGAGGGAUUUGGUAGCUCAUAAGCGAUUCUAUGGUCACAAUAUCAUUUACAUUUAUUUUUAAAUUUCUCGCUAUUUUUGAGAUUUCUUUUGGUAAAUAUUAUUGACUUUUCAUUGUUGGACGACUUUAGUAUUUCAACAUACAUAUUUUACAGUAGCGAUGGAUUAAGAAGUUUUUCAGAGGCAACUUAUUCCAUGGUUGCAGACGGUAAAGGUAUGCUAAGAGGUUGGCGACUGAUGAUGUGCUAUAGAUAUGCUAUUGUGGGCUUUUCGGAGGCUAUUCACAUUUUGGAAGGACCAAAAUUAAUUGGUAGGCCUAAUGAGAAUGUAUAUUCUCCACCGGGCUAGACUUGUGUACUCAUCACAGUUAUUGUAGCAGGUGGUGUCAUCGGUUAGAGUUGACCUUAUUCGUGUUCUGAUGUGUUCUAUGAGUUACUCUCCUAUGUCAAGACGGGUUGUGGUACUGUUGACUAUUUACAUACGCUGCGGUUAUGUUUGCGCUUUGUAGCGAAAUUUGAGCGAGAUUGCUCUUGGGAUGUUGAAUAGUUGAUUGUGCCUUGGUUAUGGUCUUCUUGUUUCUGGUAUAUAGUGAUAUAUAUAUCUCCAUGAUUAUGUGUAUGGUGAGGUUAUAUGGCGAUUUGAUGGCUUUGGAACGACUCUUGGCACGUUCUAGUACGAAUAUAUGUUUAAAUGGGGGAGAAUGUAAUGAUCCGACCAGUCGUUUUGAGCUUUAGCAUUCCAUUCGGUGGUUUGAAACUUUGAGUUGCUUCAUAUUAUGUAUUAUAACUUGCGUGUAUGGUUGGUUUCGGUUUUCGAGUGGUUCGUGAUUGAUUGGAAGAAUGAUUCUCAUUUUAGAAGCUUUAAAUUGGAAGAGUUGACCAAGAUUUGAUUUUUGGGUAAACGGACUCGGAAUCGGAUUUUGAUUAUUUUGAUAGGUUCGUAUGAUGAUUUUGGACUUGUACAUAUGUUCGGAUUUGGUUUCGGAGGUUGCUAGAAGAAUUUGUCACUAUUUGUCGAAAGUUGGCAACUUGAAGAACUUAAGAGUUCAUAAGUUUGACCAAAGAGUUGACUUUGAUAUUAUUGGACUUCAAUUGGUGUUUCGAGACUUUGGAUAGGUCUAUAUAGUUGAAUUGAACUUGUUUGCAAAAUUUUAAAGUAGUCCGGAGUGUUUAAGUGUGAUUCAGACACUCUUUUGAAAGAAUGAAGAUUUAACUACUUAAGAGAAAUUUUAUUCGGUUAGAGCCUCGAUUCUUUGUUAUGAUAUUUCCGUGGGUGUUUUGAGGUUUUGGAUAAAUUUGUAUGAUGUAUUUAUACUUGUUGGUAUAAUUGGAUGGGGUCCCGAAGGUCUCGGGUGUAUUUUGGAACAUUGGUUGAGAAACUAGUUAAGUUAAGGAUUUGAAGUUUGACCAUGGUCAAUAUCGGAUCAAGAUGAUCUAUUUUUGGUGUUUUGAGUGCGCGACUAGGUUCAUGAUGUAUUUUAUGAUUGAAAUGCAUAUAUAGUUUGUGUCCGCGAGAUUUUUGUGUGCUAAAACGAAAAUUUUCUUAUUGCUAAUUUUUUUUAUCUUGCAUACUAUUGAAUGUUUCAGAUUUCUUUUAAAACUUCAAAACAUCAUAUCUCCCUCAUUUUAAGACCAAAUCGGGUGAUUCAAGAGGCUAUCUUAGGUGGAAUCUCGCAAGGAUCGUGUUGGGAUUAUCAAACGUAAGUUUCGAGAUCAUCUAGGACUUGAAUAGAGCUGGGACAGUUGCUGUAUAUUUUUUCUUGUUUCAGAAUUUAGUUACUUUUUCUCACAAGGUUUUGGAGCUCGGUUUUGAGCGAUUUUGGAGAGGGUUUUUACUACUUGGAUUGGGGUAAGUACUUUUGACUUGGAUUUGUUAUUAUUUCAUGAUUCCAACCUCGAUUUUAGUGUUUGAUUAAUAAUUUGAAUUGGAAAAAUUGAGGAUUUUAGUAAAAACUUUCUAAAGAAUAAAUUGAUGGUUUGAAGGCUGAUUUGAGGUCAAAAUUGAAUGGUUUUUGGUAUGAUUGGACUCUUAUCGGAAUGAGUGUGAAAUUUUUAAGUUUUAUCGGGUUUCGAGGUGUGGGCCCGGGGGUUGACUUUUUGAUUUUCGUUAAAGAUCGAAACUUUAUUAUCCGAAAUUGUGUCCUAUGGUUUUUAUUUAUGAUAUUAAGUUAUUUUGGAUAGAUUCGAGCCGUUCUGAGGUUAUUUCACAUGAGAAGGGUUUCUUAGAGUAUUGAUUUAACUUCUUUGACAUAAGUAUCUUGCCUAACUUUAUGUAGGGGAAAUACCCCCUUAGGAUUGGGUUUGAUUGUACUAUUUGAAUUAUGUGGAAGACGUGUACAUGAGAUGGUACCUUUUGUAGGAAUGAUGUGUUGUUGAUCAUAUAGGCAACAUCGACUUAAUAAAAUUACUGAUCUAAAGUCAAAUUGCAAAAAGAAGUCUUAAAACUCUUUUAACAUGAUUUAUAUUUAUGCACACACAUAUGCAAAAUUAGUGUUCACUUCUUUUUUCUUCAAAUACUUUUUUUUAUAAUUAUUGUUACAAGACAUAAGGCAUAUAACUUCACAUAUUAAUAUUAUAAGUUAAUAAACUGUUAAUCAUGUGUUUGCAAUAUGUUAUCUUUAUCUUGUUGCAAAAAACUUUAUUCACUAAUAUGAAAAAUAAAGUAAUUUAAUUUCAAUUUCUAAAAUAUUUCUAUUUUUCAAAAAUAUGCAGUUUUCUUUUUAUAAAGAUUUGGGGAUUUAAAAUUUUGGAGACUUUAAGCAAAGUUUUACUAGUCUUCUCCAUCAACAUUUGUUUCUACACUAGUCUUUUCGUGUUCUACAUGUCUAUCAUUUAACAACUAAAAAUUGUGCAGCCAGGAACUUGAUAUGAUUUUCUUUGUCACGGCGUAAAUCUUAAUGUUCAUACGAUAUGAUGUAACUUUUCAUUUAGUAGUUGGGAGGGAGUUAUUUGAGAAAGAUAAAGUCUGAAUUCGUUUGGAAUUGCAUCAUUGGAUGAUUUAAGUUACUGAAAUUUAAGGCGUUUGGAAAUCAAAGAUAUAUUAUUGUAAAAUCGUCUCAAUCUAAUUGUGAACGGAAGUGAUCUUACAAUCCUACUAUUUUGCCAAUUAAUUGACCUUUUUUGUAUUUAAUCUAUGUAUUCUCAAUAUAGAUGUUAUGUUACGAAUUCAAGAAAAGUUAACUACAAAUAGCACUAAAGAAAUAGGAGUAACUUAUACCAAGAAUUAAGGGUGUACAAACCGAACCGGAAAAUCACACCAAAUCGAAAGUUAAACCAAACCGAUUAAAAAAUCUGAUUAGGUUUGAUUUGAUUUGAUUUGGUUUGGUAUUGAGUAAAAAUACCCAAACCAAACCGACAUAUAAAAUUAUAAUUUUUAUAUAUACUUUUAAGACUUUUUAUAGAAUUUUCUUUAAAAAAAUGUCUAGAAAUAUUUGCAAUUCGCUUAUGGAAUGUAAUAUUUAGUUAAAAUAUGAAAUGCUACAUAUUUAUUAACUUUAAAUAAUGGGUUGUAUGAUCACUUUCUUAUCAAGUGUUAGUGAAAUGCGUCUAUCUCUUUGUUCUUCCAUAUUUAUAUGUCAAGAUCUAUUAAAUUCCUAUAUUUUUUUCGAAUUUAAAAUUAAAUAGAACAUAUCAUUAUAUAGGUUCAUAUUUAUUUUUAUAUUUAAUUAUUAAAUUCGGUUAACCUUGAAAGUAUUAUACAUUAAUGUAAAAUUAUUGUUAGACGACUAAAAAAUAAAUAUCAUGUGUUACUAAGAAAAUUCUUCCAAAAAAUAUUUUAAUAGAUCAUAUAUUUGUCAAUUUUUUUAAUUUUUAGUAAAUAUAUAUUUACUUAUAAAAAAUUUAACAAAGUAAGACUGAAAUAAUAAAAAAAAAAUCGAAAAAUCCGACAAAACGAACCAAUCCAAAUCGACAUAGUUGGUUCAAAACCGAACCAACCCGGUCCAUGUACAAUCCUACCAAGAAUAAUAUUUUACUUUUAUUUUGGAACUUUACCUUGUUGAUUUAAGGUCUUCAGAGAAGUGACUAGUCUUUCAAGCUCCAUUAUUAUACUUAGACUUUAUUAUAACAUUUCUAGACUGAAUUUGGCUCAUGUUCUUUAAGUGUAAAAUAACUAAAAAGUGUUUCUUUUUUUGUUUGUUUAAAUCUUACCAUCAUUUAGUAUGAUUCUAAGACCUAAAAUAAUCCUAUUUCAUAUUCUAGCUCUGCAAAACACGUGCCAUUCAAAGCAAUUUCUUUUGUUGGGACAUUGUGUUUGUUAUAAAAUGUUUUUCAACUAAACACCUUAAAUGAAGUUUUUUAGUAUUCCAAAAUCGUGAAUAAUUGCUCAAAGUUUUUUCAUUUUUGGAAGAAAAAAAAUUCUGAAGAAUUUCUCCAGGAAAGUAAAAAUUAAUUUUAUUUAAUUGAAGCUCGUUCUUGUCUUUAAAAAAAAUGAAACUUUUCUUAAAUUGUGAAGCAAAUGCUACAAGAUAUUGACAGCUUGUUUGGAUUAGACUGGACUUGCAUACGCUUUAUUCUUGUUGGGAAAACUAUAAUAUAUAACUAUCUCUCGAAAAUAAUAGCCGGUAAUAUAUAUAUAUAUAUAUAUAUACAAUAUUCAUAUUUUAUACAUAUAGUGUAAAUAUUUUUAUAUAUUGAGCCGAUGGUCAAAUGUGUAACUUUCCCUUUAUUCUUUUUACUCGUAAAUAAAUAUAUCUGUUGAGAAGAUUUACUUGCUAUAUAUUUUUAUUGUAUUAUUCGGAAAAAAAAGUUAUUUACAAUAUUUAUUAUUGUUGGGCCGAAAAAUUAUGGGAUUGUUACACACAUGGACUUUUUCGUAUAUAUACGAGAUUUUAAACUUAUUUACCCGAUUUUAUCUAAGUUUUCAUAUUUACAGAAAGUAACUAAGGUCUUUUAUAAAAUAUAUACAAAUCUGGUCACAGUCUACAAUUUAUCUACAACUUAAAUAUAUAUUUUUUACACAGAAUCUGGUUAAAAACUACAAUUUACAUAUAUUUUAUAUACAACUUGUAUAUAAAUAUGUAAGUUGUAGAUAUUUUGUAGACUGUUUCUACACUCACAUACAAAAUAUACCCAAUUUGCUUAUGUCUUAUUUUUUAAGGUUCAAUUUAAAAUCCAACCAAGACCACCUCGAAUCUUCACCAAAUUCCCUCAAAAUUGAGAUAUAAACUCCAAAUAGUAUUCUCAAUAAUUUGCAACAACAUCCGAUCCAAACAAAUAACGAUUUAAUCGAACCCAAUUUUCGAAUUAAAAGCUUUGAAGUUUCUUAAAGGUUGUCAAUGGAGUUUAAAUUCAAAACUUUAUGCUUAGUUUAAUCAAUGCAUAAAAUUUUUUAUGCUCAGUUUAAUCAAUAUAUGUGCCAUGCCCAAUGCAUGUGCCAAUGGUUUAAUCUCUUCAUUAAUCAACAUAAUGCAAAACUUUGGACCAUUUUUAUCGAUGAGAGAGUAAUAAAGUUGUGCCAACUAUGUUCUUAGUUAUUUUUUGUUACUGAUAGUAGGACUUUCAUGUCUUCUCUUCAUUCAUGACUUCUCUUCAUUCAUGACUCUUUAAGAUCAAAACUUGUUAUUCCAUAUAUUUUUGGUGAUUGGUUAUGUGGGGCUGGGGGUUGGGAUACAGUGUAUUGCUGAGAGACGUACCGUGGGGUGGGUAGAAACCUGAAGGCUUAGGAUUGAUUGCCAAUUAAAGCCCUAUAACUGAGGGAUAUUAACUUGUCAAUAAAAUAUAUAUAAUUGUUAAAUUGUAUAUCAAUUUGUAAUUAAGUUAAAAUUAAAUAUUGGUAAAAAUCUCUUACACAAAUAGCUUAGAGGCCCGGUAAGCUAUAAAUUGUCUUUUCUACUAGAGAGGCAAAGAAGGAACAGUGCUACUGAGCUAGGGUUUCCGCGUUGGGGGUUACAGGUAACUCCUGGGUUCUGAUCAUCAGUGAAUUAUGCUUUUCGUUUUGGUUCCUGUUCGAUAAUCUGAUAAGGUUCCUGUUCGAUAAUCUGAUAACUAUGAAAUACUAUCUUUUUUCAAUUGUUGUUUGUAUUCGUAUUGUCAUUAUCGAGGAUAAAAAUUGAUCUUUUUAAUUUAAUUUUAUCGGUGUUUGUUUAUGACUUUUUCACCUCAUAUGCAUCACAGUAUACAUAUAUCCACAUGUACUUUUUUCUCUGUCUCUUUGAGUGUCUCUAUCUGAUAGUUUGCAUGCGUGAUUAUUAAUAAAAUAGGGAUAUAUUGAAGUUGAUUCCUAAGGUUUUAUUCUUUUAAGUGUUUAAGCAUAAUAUAUGUAUAGUGGCCAUAAUUUUGUGAUAAAUUGUUUGAGGGAGAAAAAGAGUACUGAAACUUCGGUCAUGAACUAAAUUAAUGUGCAAAACUUGCCAUGUAAGGAGGCUUUUUUGGUAUGAGUUGCACAACAAAAGGUCUCUCAUCUCUUGAGCCUUCAAAGGAAAUUCAUCAUAUUUAACUCGCAGUAGUUAUAAUGGUUAUAUUCCUAGGGAAGUGAAACUGUGAAAGUAAUUACAAGGGACAAGUAAUACCAACCAAGCCUUCAAGUUUAUUCCUAUCAGUUUUGCAAGUAAUACCAACUGGUUCUGCCUAUAAGCUUCAUAUAACCAGUUCAAGUCUGUAUUCCUAUGAGCAUUGAAUUCGUUGGGACAUACUCACAUUUACAUGUCCUACAUUAGCAGUCGAGUGUGCAUGCCUAGACCAGUGACCUAUUCAUACCAAAAGAGAGUUAUAUUCAUUUUUACACUGUGAAAAAAUGACAGCCAGGUGCACUAAGCUCCCGCUAUGCGCGGGAUCCGGAAAAGGGCCGGACCACAAAGUUCUAUUGUACGCAGCCUUACCCUGCAUUUCUACAAGAGGCUGUUUCAUAGAGUCUUGUUACACUGUGAAGAAUUAACAAUUUCAUUAGGCGGUGUCAAGUGGGCAACGGGCAGGGGAGCAUGCAUCGUUUGAGUACUGGGUUCAUCUGAUCCCAAUACUUUCAACACGGAGCAUAGACCUUAAAUCCUGGAUUCGCCUCUGGAAGGGGUUCCAUCUCAUUAUGGAAUGGGCUAGAACAUAGGGAAACGGUUGGAAAAGAUUCGACUCCAAGUAGUUCAAGACCUGAUCACACUUGGUGAUUGAUGAGUUAUGUCUUUCAUGCUGUUUUGUUUCUUGAAGACAUGAUUUGUUGAUUCCGUGGCCCUCCUUUAUUUACUAUUGCAAGUGCUUUUAUGAAUGUGUAAAGAGAUAAUAUCUCACGUUUCUUUGUUUCUAUUGAUUGACAGCAACUUGCAACAUCUGUGACAAAAGCUCCAAGACAAAAUGGUGAGUGACCACUUGAAUCUCUUUCUUUUGGACUUUGACAUGAGUUACUUGGCAAUUGUGGUUUCAUGUUCUUUUCCUGUGGCCUUAAUUAGGGUAUUCCAAAGAUAUCAAACGACAUUGACUUGCUUCACCCUCCUGCUGAGCUUGAGAAGCAAAAGCACAAGCUUAAGCGUUUGGUCCCAUCACCUGAUUCUACUUUUCUGGUAUCUACCAUUAAUCACUGAUAUUUUGGAUUUGAUUGUGAUCUAUAUAUAUGAUUUAUGCCUUUUGUCUUUGUCCUUGCUUGUGUAACUUUUGAUCAACCGUUGCAGGAUGUUAAAUGUCCAGGCUGCUUCCAAAUGUAAGUUCCUGAAAAAGAGCGGUUAAAUUCCUCGUGUUAUAAGUUUCCAUGUAGUAGUAAGGUACUAAUAAUCGAUCCAACUUUUACAGAACAACAAUUUUCAGCCACUCGCAAACCGUGGUUACAUGCCCCAACUGCCAGCAAGUGCUCUGCCAGCCAACUGGUGGACGCACAAAACUUACUGAGGGAUGCUCUUUUAGGGUUAAAGAGAAGGCUAUGAUGGUCGUGGGUUGAUAUUUGCUAGAGGUUCUGGUUAAGCUGUGACAUUAUAAAUUAGGUUUUUGAAGAAUGAGUUGGUUAAGAGAACUUUUCCUUUGCUCGGUAGUACUUUUUUGUUUUGAGUUCUGACUUUGAUGAAUACUUUGGCAAUCAUAUUACUCUUACCACAUUUUGAAGUACUUAAUCUUCUUCCUGAUCUUGAUUUUAACAUUACUUAAUCUUCUUCCUGAUCUUGAUUUUAACAUUUUUCAGAAGAUACUCCAUGUUUGUUUGUGCUUUUAUGUUUUUGGUAUUCAUGUUUAAUGCUAGAAAUAUGCCCUGUUUUGAAUUUGAAGCGCAUGGCUGUUCCUUUGGAUAAAAUUAAGUCGAGUAACUUGCUUUGAGUCUCUAUUGCAAGAUAAACACGACGUUUAUACUCUACUUUUGACUGGUGCAAUGUGCCAUGAAAAUUGCUUGAAUCCGUCAGGAGCUUGACUCACUCAAUCCAAGCCUCAGAAUGUUUCUAGCUAUGUUUGGUAAACCUUUUUGGGAUGUUAUGUGUACUUAUAAACUAACCGCAACUUUAUGGUAUCGAGUAUAACUGAAUAAAGAAGUAUGUACAGGAGAUUAAUGAAUUCUUGUGUGAUUGAAGCUGUGUAACGUCUAUUUGUUCAAGUUACUGGUUUUAACCUGGACAGUUUCCAGGAAUAUUUGUAAGCGCCACUAGUUUUAUAGUAACGCAGUAAGGCAACAUGACACACUGUUUAAAGAGUAUUUUAACACAACAUUAACAUACAUUACAUAUAAAAUGGGACUUCAAAUCCAGCUGAACAGUGCAAAAGGGGCAUGAAAAAACAGUAAAAGAAAAGACCUGGAAGAAAGGCAUCACCUUCCCUUUGCCUUUAUGACUUGCCUGUGAGUUCUUCGCAUCCACUCAGAUCAGAUGCAGUGAAGGCUAAUAGUCUACACAGAAUGGUUUGAAGUCACCUUCACUAUCAUCCCAUCCUUGGUUUUUAUCAAAUACUUCUUUCUCUUCUUUCUCCACA